GCCUCGGUAGCGCAGUAGGCAAGCGCGUCUGUCUCAUAAUCUGAAGGUCGUGAGUUCGAUCCUCACCCGGGGCA
rnacentral:tRNA from 1 species